AGAGUUUGAUCCUGGCUCAGAACGAACGCUGGCGGCAGGCUUAACACAUGCAAGUCGAACGAUCCUUCGGGAUAGUGGCAGACGGGUGGGUAACGCGUGGGAACCUUCCCUAUGGUACGGAAUAGCUCCGGGAAACUGGAAUUAAUACCGUAUACGCCCCCCUUUGGAGACAUUUGGGGGGAAAGAUUUAUCGCCAUAGGAUGGGCCCGCGUCGGAUUAGCUAGUUGGUGAGGUAACGGCUCACCAAGGCUACGAUCCGUAGCUGGUCUUAGAGGAUGAUCAGCCACACUGGGACUGAGACACGGCCCAGACUCCUACGGGAGGCAGCAGUGGGGAAUAUUGGACAAUGGGCGAAAGCCUGAUCCAGCCAUGCCGCGUGAGUGACGAAGGCCUUAGGGUUGUAAAACUCUUUUGGCGGGGACGAUAAUGACGGUACCCGCAGAAUAAGCCCCGGCUAACUUCGUGCCAGCAGCCGCGGUAAUACGAAGGGGGCUAGCGUUGUUCGGAAUCACUGGGCGUAAA
rnacentral:rRNA from 1 species